GGCGUCUGGGUGUGCGGAGCGCGCGCGCGCGGCUUGGAGGCGCACCUGUGAGGUGUCCCUUGAGGAGAGGGAGGGUGGGUGCGCGGAGUCCGCGGCCUGGGGCGCUUCAACCCCUCACUUGGAAGCGCUUCGCGUCCCAGCAGAGCCAGCCGAGCAUCCUACUCAGGUGAUGAGGAACCCUCCCGGCACCCAGCGCACAUCGCUGCUGCCGCUGGACGCCUCCAUUGUUUGACCAUAACAAGGGCCGGAUUCUCAACCCAGCAGGAUCCCGAGGCUUUUGUUGCCCUUCAGCCACUGUGGGCCCUGCCUCUGCCUCUUCUUCUGGAAUGUCUUGGGGGUUUUGACUUCUGUCACUGUGCUCCAGAAGCAACAUUUUCCCUUCUGAAGUUCCAAGUGGAGUGCGUUUUCCUUCGUGUGCCUUUUAUGCAGGACAGCUGCUUCUCAUACUCACAUACCUGCAAAUCCAAGAGACACGUCUCUCUGGAAGAUAAGAGCUCCUUCCUCAAGAUCAAAAAAGGAGACUGCUGGAGUGACACCUGCGUAGGGAAUCCUCACCAGGAAGGACUGACACACCUGGACCCAAGGCGCUGGCUUCCCGGGAGGCUCCUGUCUGAUGUGCAGGAGGCAGGAUGUCAUUGUGACUCUGCAAGGGGAGGCUCCUGGUGACCGAGACCAGCACGCAGUAUCGCACCCUUGGCUACAGGGGACACUGUGCAGACCUUUUCCUGCAACUGAGAAAGCUCCAUAUCCAUUGGAGAGACCACACAGGAGAGAAGGCGUAUAAAUGUGAUGAUUGCGGGAAGGACUUUAGCACCACGACAAAGCUCAAUAGACACAAGAAGAUCCACACGGUGGAGAAGCCCUAUAAGUGCUACGAGUGCGGCAAAGCCUUCAACUGGAGCUCACACCUUCAGAUUCACAUGAGAGUUCACACAGAUUGGUAUUAAAAACUCAUGUGGAGGAACUCAAGGAAUGUUUAGAAGACCAAAAGUCCCCAAUGACAACAAAAAGCAACUAAUUUUUAACUUUGUUUCCCUUCUCAUUCCUAUUCUCGUUGAUUUCCCACAUGUAGUCCUUUUGCUCAGGAAGUCUUUGGGGAAAUUAAGGCUCUUUGAAAGCUCUGAAAUGGGUGUUCAGGUUAGCGGUCUCUGUCCACUGUCUGAGAGGUUGGAAAAUGAACUACCCGAAAUAGUCAUCGAAAUACUGAAACGAAGCUUGAUUUUCUCUUCAUAUUUGAAUUAAUUUCUUCUGUUUGACUGGAAGGGUUUCUUGUAUAACUAAAACCUCAAUGCAUAAAGGAGAUUUAAAAGGAGCACAUAACUUACUGGGUGAGCCAUGAAACUGGAGGUGGGAUUUGGGGGUAAAUUUGUUACCAUCUGAAUUUUGAUCCAGACAUCUCUGUUAACAAGCCCUUGGGAAGUUGCUUCUCAUGUUUCCUCAUUUUCGCAAAGAGAGGGCUGGCUUAGUUAUUUGAUAAAGCCCCUUCCAGGCCUGAAUUCCUCGACUACGAUUUACUGUAGUGUCUUAACACACUUCCAUGUCACAGUAGUGUGGAGCGUUAGAGAAAAGCCUAGACUUUUAGUUGAUAGAGAGCCAGUUGAAAUAUCACUGAUAGAAUUAUAGGUUUAGGAAAAAUUGGUUUGAUUUGUAGCUGUAUUACUGUUAGGUAUGUGAGCUUGGGCAAAUUGCUUAAUCUUUGAGUCUAGUUUUCUCACUUACAAAAUGAGGACAUUAGGCUAAAUGAUUUCUGAGUUUCCAGCUAGUCCUAGAGUUCUAUAUUUCUACAUAGUUGAAUUAUUUUAUCAUGCUGUUGCUGGGGAAUAUGACUAACACUUUGGAAGCUACUAAUUUUAUGUCGAGCUUUAAAGUCCAUAAUUGUUAUCUUCGGAAAAUAUUAUUUGACCUACAGUAUGUCCAAAUCAAUUUAAUAAAAUCACUUUAUAACAGGGUUCUGUGCUUGACAUGUGGUUGUGUGAAUUCAGUGGUCAGCGUGUGUGUGUGUGUGUGUGUGUGUGUGUGUGUGUGUGUGUGGUGGCUUGUGCAUUGUCUAGGUGACCAUAUAAUAAGGUGAGGGGGCGAUGUUGUUAAUACUUAAACAAGGACAAUAGGCCUAAACUGGAACUGCCCCAGCAAACCAAGUUGCAAGGACCCUCUGGCCCAGGGGUCAAGCAAUUGACAAAGGAGUCGUCAGGUCUGGCAGACUGGAGAGAGCCUGCCCUCCUGAGAGGACAGUGCCUGCUCAGUGGUAGCUGUUUGUUUCCAUGUGAGAUACAGGCUUAAGGGUCCCGCAUCAUCUGCUCUUUUAAGGAAACACCAACAAUCCAGAUCUUUACAUAAAAUUUAAUGAUUUUUAAAGGUUGGCAACGAAUUCAUGUUCCCUGUGUGACCCAUUUUCGUCAUUUGUAUUACCUGCAUGGUGCCCAUAGGCUUUUCUUUAACUUUGCAAGCUGUGCUCUGGUCCCUGAUGGCUGUCUCCCACCCAUGCUAAGGCCUGACACUUCUCAGCUAAGCAGUGGUGGCCCAGACCCCACACACCAGUCUCUGACAGCCAGUGGGUCUGGCGUCCACCUGCCUCUCGGGGCGAGUCUAGGCUCCGCUUCCACAGUUGAGGCGGAAGCCAUCCAGACGGCCCUUUCGAUGUGAGUGGGGUGGGGCAGAGACCCCACAUGGGUCACACGUGGCUUGAGCUCUCCCACUGGGUCACUCCUGUGCCUGCUAGGAGUUAGGGUGUGAGCGAGAAAAGCCAGGGCCGACUUCACAGUUUCUAAGGGGAGCCCGAGUAAAUGGCAGAUUGUAUCUUUACGGCCUCUUACCUUAAGGAAGAACUCUUUCAAGAAGUCAGCCCAAUAGCCUGCAGUGGUCUGCUCUAGAGAAGGUGGGUGCCCAGGCCAGUCGCGGGCCAUCUGGAGGAAGCUGUGGGUGUGUCUUUGGUGUUGCGUGAGGCUUGGACACGAUGCCUUCCAAGGGGUCUUCCACCUCUUGGUUCAGUUAUUCCCCCCAGAUUUAAAAUUAUUAAGCGAGUCUUUCUGUGCAACCUGCUGUUAUCCUCAGGAAUUUGAAAAUAAUAGGUGAAAGCAAGUAUCAGCGGAUGGAAAAAGUACUCAAUGGUAAAAUCAAACCCCGAGGAAGAGAUGAGAAAGAGGUUGAUACCAUUACAGGGCAGGAGGCAAAUAUAAGUAGCACUGCCGAGUUGGUACAUGGAUUGAGAUAAAGAGAGGUAGGAAACACGAAGGUGAUACAGCACUUACUCUGUGACCUUACUCAGUUUCUUCACUUCUCUGAAUCUCAGGUUUCUCAUCUGUAAGAUGGUUUUGAAAAUACCUAACCUGUGAGACAUUUGAGAAAACUAAGUAAACACACAUCAAGUGCCUAGCCUUUAGUAAUGCAACAGAAGAAUUGUUAUUAAUCCCAGGUGCCUAUGAACGAGGAUGAAUCGUGUUAUUUGGAGUUCUUUGGUUCUGCUGAGCCCUGUGGGGGGUUAGGACAUCUCAGUUUGGGGUGGGACCUGGAGAGGGCUGAACUGUUCCACGUGGUGAGAAAGCGAAGAACUGCAGUCUCCUGGGAUAGUCUGAGACAAGAAAAUACAGAGUAGACUUGGAAAGGGAGUCGAAGAGAGGGACCCAGCGGAGUAGAAUGGUGUCAGGUUGCACACUUUCCUGUACGAACCCUUAUGACCACAGAAUCCCUCCCAAAAGGCUUGGGAUGCUUGGUCUGAGUGGCUUUCUUAUGGAAACUGGCGGAAGGGCCAGGUGCUGUGUCCAAACUGAAGUGGGCAGAACAUGUAAGUACAACACUUUGAGAGACGCCGGGGCCCGGAGAGGGCGGCCCUGAGACGUACGCCCCGAGGACCGCACAGAAAUUCUGGGAGAGCUUCCGGCUUCCACAGGCCGGGGUCCCCCAAACCCUAUGGGCAGGGAGGCCUCUGUGUGUUACCCCUGGGUUCCCACUCCUGGUGUGCAUAAGGCAGAGUAAUUCUGAGGUCAGAAGGACAUGAAAACAUUAAAAAAAAAAGUCAUUCUCAUGUUAUAUUUUAAAAUGUUAAGAGGCACACGAGCAACUCCAGAGAUUCCGGGGCCUUGUGUUUGUUAAACGUGUCGGCGGAGGUCUCGGAGGAAGGUGACGGUUAGACCAAAGUGCUUUUGUUGUUCAGAUGUAGGUAUAUGCAAAUAAAAUACGUUUUUAAAGUAAAAUAAUAGCAUGUGUAAGUUGCUCUUGCUGAUUUUCAGGUGAAUGUAUACAUUUUGUAGCCUGUUUUGUGUGCACCCUGCCAGUUCUGCUCCCUCAAUGCCACUUCUGAAAAUGGGUUCACGCAGACUCCCCCUCCUCCUUUGGACAAUGAAGCUGGCCCUGGCCCAGAUCUUCUCUGCAUCAUGAAUUAUGGUAGGAGCGCCAUGUUUAGAGAGCUUUUAAACCUAGCGUCUGUAGAUGGUUUUCAGAGAGGUCCAGAACCUUCUUAAAGUGUAUGCAGGGGUUUGUGUAUCUGUGGGUGUAGACAUUUUUCUAGGAAGGCGGGCUUUCCUAUUUAAUUUGGGACUCUAAUGGAUAAAGAACACUGAUUGAGCCACACUGUUACUCAUUGUGUAGGGACCUUGGGCAAAGGGGCAUCUAAGAGGUCAGCACAGUGGUGGGUCACUGGGACAAACAGAGAGCAAUGGUGUAAUGAAUGGGAAAAAAGUAACCUCGUGCUGUGCUGUGAAGAAAGAAGAGGCUGUUGGCAUAACAUGAAAGCUGCGUGUGCAUGUGCUGUUACCCUGGGCUCAGUGCAAAGCCGUGUUACAGUAUAACGUAAUGUGCUCAAGAGAAAAGUCCUGUGAGCAAUGUGAGAGAGUGUGUGUGGGUGAGAACAGCUGGGUCCUUCAGAGGCGCUGGCUGGACGUGGGAAGAGUCGGCUCCAUGCGCGGAAAGUGCUGGGGCCACAGCUGAGUCCGGCGCUCGGUCGCAGGGAAGGCAAUUCUUGCUGUAAAACUGGAGCAAGGUCCCCAGUGCCUGUGUGGGUUGUGUUUGGAUUCUCAAAUAAACCUGUUCACAUCA